rnacentral:misc_RNA from 1 species
GAUGAAGAACGUAGCGAAAUGCGAUAAGUAAUGUGAAUUGCAGAAUUCAGUGAAUCAUCGAAUAUUUGAACGCACAUUGCGCCCGCUAGUAUUCUGGCGGGCAUGCCUGUCCGAGCGUCAUUUCAACCCUCAAGCCCCCGGGCUUGGUGUUGGGGAUCGGCGAGCCUCCGCGCCCGCCGUCCCCUAAAUCUAGUGGCGGUCUCGCUGUAGCUUCCUCUGCGUAGUAGCACCCCUAGCGCUGGGAAACAGCGCGGCCACGCCGUUAAACCCCCAACUUCUGAACGUUUGACCUCGGAUCAGGUAGGAAUACCCGCUGAACUUAAGCAUAUCAAUAAGCGGAGGA